AUUGAACGCUGGCGGAAUGCUUUACACAUGCAAGUCGAACGGCAGCACGGACUUCGGUCUGGUGGCUAGUGGCGAACGGGUGAGUAUUGUAUCCGAACGUGCCCAGUCGUGGGGGAUAACGUAGUGAAAAUUACGCUAAUACCUCAUACGAUCUAUGGAUGAAAGCGGGGGAUCGCAAGGCCACGCGCCAUUGGAUCGCCCUAUAUCAGAUUAGGGAGUAGGUGGGGUAAAGGCACACCAAGCCAACGAUCUGUAGCUGGUCUGAGAGGACGACCAGCCACACUGGAACUGAGACACGGUCCAGACUCCUACGGGAGGCAGCAGUGGGGAAUUGUGGACAAUGGGCGAAAGCCUGAUCCAGACAUUCCGCGUGCAGGAUGAAGGACCUCGGGUUGUAAGCUGCUUUUGUACAGAACGAAAAGGUUUCUACUAAUACUAGGAGCUCAUGACGGUACUGUAAGAAUAAGCACCGGCUAACUACGUGCCAGCAGCCGCGGUAA
rnacentral:rRNA from 1 species